rnacentral:rRNA from 1 species
CACGUAGGGGACGAGCGUUGUCCGGAUUCAUUGGGCGUAAAGCGCGCGCAGGCGGCCCUUUAAGUCUGUCGGUCAAACGCCGGGGCUCAACCCCGGGUCGGCCGUGCGGACUGGGCGACUCGAGCACCGUAGGGGCAGGCGGAAUUCCGGGUGUAGCGGUGGAAUGCGUAGAGAUCCGGAAGAACACCGGCGGCGAAGGCGGCCUGCUGGGCGGUGGCUGACGCUGAGGCGCGACAGCGUGGGGAGCAAACAGG